GCAUCGAUAGCUCAGUGGCAGAGCGGUGAGGCGUUGACCCGUGCGGCCCGGAUUCGAGCCCCUGUCGAUGCA